UACGUAGGGUCCGAGCGUUGUCCGGAAUUAUUGGGCGUAAAGUGCUCGUAGGCGGUUAGUCGCGUCGGGAGUGAAAACUCAGGGCUCAACCCUGAGCGUGCUUCCGAUACGGGCUGACUAGAGGUAUGCAGGGGAGAACGGAAUUCCUGGUGUAGUGGUGAAAUGCGUAGAUAUCGGGAGGAACACCAGUGGCGAAGGCGGGUUGCUGGGCUGACACUGACGCUGAUGUGCGAAAGCUAGGGGAGCGAACGGG
rnacentral:rRNA from 1 species